rnacentral:rRNA from 1 species
GACUGCCCAAGAGAUCGGGAUAACACCUGGAAACAGAUGCUAAUACCGGAUAACAACAGAUGAUGCCUAUCAACUGUUUAAAAGAUGGUUCUGCUAUCACUCUUGGAUGGACCUGCGGUGCAUUAGCUAGUUGGUAGGGUAACGGCCUACCAAGGCGAUGAUGCAUAGCCGAGUUGAGAGACUGAUCGGCCACAUUGGGACUGAGACACGGCCCAAACUCCUACGGGAGGCAGCAGUG